GGGUUCUUCCUCUUGUAUCUCAACGAAACAGACUAGCUUUUUAUGAAAUUCAUAAAGUUUAUGUUAUUUCUAAGUUAGGUCUUAUACUCUGUUUUCAUUCAAUUUCAUAUAAAUGAAUAGUUUCAAAAAUAGUUAUGAUGAUGGUAAUACCAUUUUGAAGCUCUCUAACCAUUUUACAAAUCGUUUAUUGUCUCAUCUGAUCCUCCUGUCAAUCCGGAAAAAUAUACAGGGAGCUGUUAGAGCAUUUUAUAGAUGUCAAAAGAGGCCCACACGGAUUACGUAACUUGUCCAAGUUACCCCACUAAUAAGUGCUAGGACAGGAGAAGACGGGUCUCUGGAUUUCAAUCCGAAUGCUUUACUCAGAAGCUCAUGCCUCUCCUGUCUCAAAUUUCAGGUCUAACUCUAGACUAAACAUAGUCUGCAUUUUUCUCAUUCCUUAGGAACAUCACCUUGGUUUCCCCGUAUUUCUCUUUCUUAUAGGAGAUCUCUGACGAAGCCCAGAUAGUUGGGUAAAACUGAGAUGCUGAGAGAUUCAGUACCAUGACAUCUGUCAGUUAGAAAGCUGAAGUUAACCAUGUACUCUUGCUUUAAAAAAAAAUAAAUAACUUGAAGAAAUUUUCUCUACUUUACAAGAGAGCAUUCCUCCUUUGUGGAAAAGUUACCUACCAUUUUCUACCUAGUCUUCACACUUCAGACAUUUUUUAGGUAUGUUUUCACCUUUCUAAAACGGGGAUGUGAAGGAAAGAGCUCUGUACCAGCACUUUCCAGAGGCAGGAAUUUACAGGCAGGUGUCUUAGAGCCACAGUUGGCCCACGUAUCUUUGAUUUUCUGAUUAUAUGUACGUUUUCAAUUGCCCUUGUAUUUUGUUUUUUUUAUGUAUUUUUAAAUCAUUUACUAAUAUAUCUCAUUUUAUCCCAACACUGCUUCUUGCAUUUCUUUCAAGCAUAGAGAAGAAAUCCAAAUACAAAGCACUACACAUAAUACAGUGCAACUAAAAUGAGGUAGGGGCGUCCCACUAAUUAAAUACUUGCUGACUUGAAAAUGUCCCAAUUUUAUAAAAUGUAUCAAGAAACCGACACUUUGCAUUGUAUUUUAUUCCUCUAUGUCAGUGAACAAUUAAUUGCCUCUCAGCUCCAAAUUCACCCUUCAAUACCUACUCUGUACUAACUGGCUGAACUCUUAAGAAUUCCUCCUUUGCAGUGAGCAUGAUGCUAAACUUUAGCAGCAGAGGGCGAUAGAGGGAAAAUGCCAAAGGAAAGGGUUGCUCCGGAAUCUGGGGUGCCUGCGUGUUUUGCUUCUUCCUGCUAAUGCGAGGCUGUCUCAGUGACUAUGGAUACGGAGAAUACCCACGGGUGCUCCAUCCCAAGUGUGAGCUCAGAGCAGACAACAAGCAGAGCCUCACGAACUCACAGCCUCGGUCUGGUGACCGCCUCGCCACAGCCCUCCUGACACAAACAUCACACACCCAUCAUAUAGGGGACUGACAUCCAUAAGAGACAAAGACCACUGUAGGGACAAGGGGAUUUGGUGGUACAGGGACGCUCCGGAAGAGUCUGUCCAGACUGGACCAGGGAGAUAAAGGACUCAGGGGAGGGAGGAGUCUCCAAUUAAAAGACAAAACUGACAGGUUCCCUACAAACACUCUAUCAACAUAGAGAGGAAUUUCACAAUUCUAUCAGAGGUAUGGGGGACUGGUGGUGAAAGUGUUGAUAAACACAACUAAGCAAAGUUUUAAACAGCAGCAAUCAAUGACUUUAGAGAAAAGGGCAUAAAGAAAUAAAAUCUAAUUGCAGUACACACUGUGGCUCAGUUGUGAACGACAUUUACAUAGUCAGAACAAUCAACACUGACUGAAGACUGAAAACACUGACGUGUGUGCGAUGGGGUAAGUGGGAAAUGUGUGUGUAGUCUUACUUCAAGUUAGAUUAACAUCUUCCUUAGGAGGAAGUCAACAGAUAUUGAAGAUUGAAAACAUUUAAGAAAUAGCAGCAUAUUAUUUAGAAAUAGAGACAUUCAACUACAGUUGACUCUUAAACAACUUGGAGGUUAUGGUGCCAACGCCCUGCAAAGUUGAACACCACUUUUUUUCCCCCCUACUCGAUGGAGUCUUGCUCUGUC